rnacentral:misc_RNA from 1 species
GAUGAAGAACGUAGCGAAAUGCGAUACGUAAUGUGAAUUGCAAAUUCAGUGAAUCAUCGAGUCUUUGAAAGCACAUUGCGCCCCCUGGUAUUCCGGGGGGCAUGCCUGUCCGAGCGUCAUUGCUGCCCUCAAGCACGGCUUGUGUGUUGGGCCCCGUCCUCCGAUCCCGGGGGACGGGCCCGAAAGGCAGCGGCGGCACCGCGUCCGGUCCUCGAGCGUAUGGGGCUUUGUCACCCGCUCUGUAGGCCCGGCCGGCGCUUGCCGAUCAACCCAAAUUUUUAUCCAGGUUGACCUCGGAUCAGGUAGGGAUACCCGCUGAACUUAAGCAUAUCAAUAAGCGGAGGA